rnacentral:rRNA from 1 species
GGGCCCGCACAAGCGGUGGAGCAUGUGGUUUAAUUCGAUGAUACGCGAGGAACCUUACCAGGGCUUAAAUGUAGUUUGACCGGUCUGGAAACAGACUUUCUCUUCGGAGCAGAUUACAAGGUGCUGCAUGGUUGUCGUCAGCUCGUGCCGUGAGGUGUUAGGUUAAGUCCUGCAACGAGCGCAACCCCUAUUCUUAGUUGCCAGCGGUUCGGCCGGGGACUCUAAGAAGACUGCCAGCGCAAGCUGAGAGGAAGGUGGGGAUGACGUCAAAUCAUCACGGCCCUUACGUCCUGGGCCACACACGUGCUACAAUGGUAGGUACAGAGGGAAGCCACCUCGUGAGAGGGAGCGGA